AUUGAACGCUGGCGGCAUGCCUUACACAUGCAAGUCGAACGGCAGCACGGGAGCAAUCCUGGUGGCGAGUGGCGAACGGGUGAGUAAUACAUCGGAACGUGCCCAAUCGUGGGGGAUAACGCAGCGAAAGCUGUGCUAAUACCGCAUACGAUCUACGGAUGAAAGCAGGGGACCGCAAGGCCUUGCCCGAAUGGAGCGGCCGAUGGAAGAUUAGGUAGUUGGUGGGGUAAAGGCUCACCAAGGCAACGAUCUGUAGCCGGUCUGAGAGGACGACCAGCCACACUGGGACUGAGACACGGCCCAGACUCCUACGGGAGGCAGCAGUGGGGAAUUUUGGACAAUGGGCGCAAGCCUGAUCCAGCCAUGCCGCGUGCAGGAUGAAGGCCUUCGGGUUGUAAACUGCUUUUGUACGGAACGAAACGGCUCUUUCUAAUAAAGAGGGCUAAUGACGGUACCGUAAGAAUAAGCACCGGCUAACUACGUGCCAGCCGCCGCGGUAAAAC
rnacentral:rRNA from 1 species